GAUGAACGCUGGCGGCGUGCCUAAUACAUGCAAGUCGAGCGAACGGACGAGAAGCUUGCUUUUCUGAUGUUAGCGGCGGACGGGUGAGUAACAUGUGGAUAACCUACCUAUAAGACUGGGAUAACUUCGGGAAACCGGAGCUAAUACCGGAUAAUAUUUUGAACCGCAUGGUUCAAAAGUGAAAGACGGUCUUGCUGUCACUUAUAGAUGGAUCCGCGCUGCAUUAGCUAGUUGGUAAGGUAACGGCUUACCAAGGCAACGAUGCAUAGCCGACCUGGGAGGGGGAUCGGCCACACUGGAACUGAGACACGGUCCAGACUCCUAGGGGAGGCAGCAGAGGGGAAUCUUGCGCAAUGGGCGAAAGCCUGACGGAGCAACGCCGCGUGAGUGAUGAAGGUCUUCGGAUCGUAAAACUCUGUUAUUAGGGAAGAACAUAGGUGUAAGUAACUGUGCACAUCGUGACGGUACCUAAUCAGAAAGCCACGGCUAACUACGUG
rnacentral:rRNA from 1 species